rnacentral:tRNA from 1 species
UGGGGUGUGGCUUAGUGGUAGAGUGCUUACCUAGCACAUGUAAGGCACUGGGUUCAAUCCUCAGCACCUCAU